rnacentral:lncRNA from 10 species
GCAAAAUUCAAGGCUUUUAACAAUUGAGUGGUAAAGUUCAAGUGGAAGAAAGCAAAACUCAGAGGAGUAAGAGAAGAAAAGAACAAUAUUUUGCCUAUGCCAUUUAAUUCCCACAAAUUUGCAAAGUGAGCAUUGUUAUUCUCAGUUUCCAGAUGAAUGCACUGAAAUAAUUUGGAUAUUUAUCCUCUCCAAAUUUCAUGUUGAAAUUUGGAGGUGGGGUCUGGUGGGAGGUGUUUUGGUUUACUCAGCCAAAGAAUUUAGCUUCUUUGAUUCGAAGCUGAGAUUUGAACCCAGGGUCCUUUGAUUCCAAGCCCAGAUAUUUACCACAAUAUCUCUGUGAUCAUCCAAUUUAUAUGUCUCAAGUAUCUGUGCCAUUGACAAAUUGUAAAACUGUGCAUGUAUACAUUAUACCUCCUAAGGUUGAGACAUAGAUGGAAGUGCCCAGCAAAACGUCUGGCACAAAGGCAUUAUUUUUUGUUUUGGCUUUGGGCUAAAAAAACAUAGAUAACAAGCAAAUGCUUUGGAGCCCUUUAAGAAGUCUUAUCUUGCUUUUAAACACCUAUAAUAAUCUUUGGCAAUGACAUUCUGCUUAUUAUUAUUUUUAAUGGCAGGUCAAGGCUCUUUUGCAGUUUGAUUGAGAGACGUCAAGCGGGACUAAAAAAGGUGUAGGGAAAUACCAUUCUUGAGAUGCCAGUACUCCCACCAGAAAUCUCUGCAAGCACUUUCAGCUUCCAUCCAGACAAUUUGAAUUUCAACUAUGUUAGACCUCUGUGAUAUAUUUAGAAAAACCAGCUUCAGAACAUUGCUAAGGUAGUUACAAGGGUCUAAACAUUUUAGAACUCUGUCAAUUAGCUCAGUGGUUGUGUAGAAUGGUGUUGAAGAAAAUUUAAUAAUGGUGGCAUUCAGAAGUUCAUUAAGAAUGUGUAUGCCAUGGUCUAAAUGUCUGUAUCCCUCCAAAACUCAUGUUGAAGUCUGAACUCCUAAGGCGAUGGUGUUAGAAAGUGGGGGCUUUGGGUGGUGAUUAGAUGGUGGUCACAGAGCCCUCAUGAGUGAGAUUAGUGCCCUUUUGAAAGUGGCCCGGGAGGGGACACUUCAUCCCUUUUACUGUGUGAGGACACAGCAAACAGGCACCACACGUGAGCCGGCAAGUAGGCCCUCACCAGACACCAAAUUGGCCUUGAUUUUGGGGUUCCCAGCUUCCAAAACUGUAAGAAAUAAAUUUAUUUACAAGCCUCCCAGUUUAUGAUACUUUAUUAUAGCAGCCCAGAUAAAUUCAGACAGGGUGGUUGACCAAAAGUGAUCUUAUAUUGUUUACAAAAGGCAAACCCUUCACAAGAAACAAGAGGUAUUUUGAGUUCACAAUCAGUCCAGUGAAGCAAUAUUAUGCUAAGAAGGAUGUUCUUCUGUUUGCUACUCAACAUUGAAGAUGUGAAGAAUGAGAACAUUUGGCUGGAAACGGCACCUAAUGAAACAAACACCCACUGGUGGGACAUAAACAGCUAUAGGCAUAAGACAAACCAUCUCGGCCCUCCUGAGACUUGCAAGAUCUAACUUCUCCAGGCAAGGCAUUUAUAUCUUUGGAAAUGCAUGAGGUUUUAAUUUGACCAAGAAUAAAUGUUUAAGUAUGCAAGAUUUAUCUUCUCAGGAGUAGGCAGAAAGGCUGGA